GGACGAUUAGCUCAAUUGGCAGAGCAUCUCAUUUACACUGAGAGGGUUGCAGGUUCGAGUCCUGCAUCGUCCA
rnacentral:tRNA from 1 species